rnacentral:lncRNA from 1 species
AGGCUAGCAAGGAAGGAAAAAAGAGGAAGUUUCUCUCUGCGUUCUGAUUACACUCUGAAUUCCCUUGUAGUGAGCUUACUUCUCUCCACCCACUUCUUACCAAGAACUCCUUAACUUGAGGGUGAACAACUUAAAGCUUGAUCCUACAGUUACCUGAAAAGUGAUUUGAGUAUUCAUUGAACUGAAAGAACAAAUCGCCUACUUCAGGCGGUGGCAAGCGUAUGGAAAUUAUAUUAGAACUUCAGCAAAGUGCACAGCUGCAUAAUAGAGAAGCCGGCACUCAGAUUGACAGGCAAAUAAGCCAGCUUGUGGAAGGGGCCUCUGGGUGGCAGCUCUGGGCUUUUGGGUGUUGGACAACCAUAGGCAAAACUGAAAUGGAACAGGGGCAGAAAAUAGCACACUUUUACUCUACGCAACUGUUGCUUUUUCAUGGAGCUCUUUCUGAGAUGAAGAGAAUUCUCAAUGUCAAGAUUUGAACAAGAAGAGAAUGGAAUACACAAUAUGGACAUCCAUAAAAAUUCAUCAGAGAGCAUUUUACUACUGAGCUGCAAAGGGAAAAACUUAAAAUGGAUAUGAAAAGUGAAGAAAGUGAUCAUAGGAGAAAACCAUUUCAGAUCAACCACCUCAGAAGAGCCAGAUUCCACUUCUGUGGCCAGGACUUUUACAUUAUGGCUGGUCCGAUUGUUUUACCCUGCGUUCUAUGCUACUAAACCUUGGAUCAUUCCUAAAGUACAAAUUCUGUUCUCGAACCACAAACAAGGCUAAAAGAUCGGAGGAAAUUCAGUGAAUAUACAGGAUUGGGGUGUCUGAUGAUUUGUGAGCCUCAAGUGACUACUCUGUGGAAUCAUCUGUCCUUGCCUUUGAAUUAGCUUUCCCUAGGCCAUGAGUCAACAUUAGUAGUUUAUACAUCCAAAUUGAUGACAAGAGCACCUCAAAGGCAGCAGCCUCAAGGAGCAGCCAUGGCCCCAGACUUGUCGCACGGAUGCAGAAAACUUAAUGGAGGAGGCUGAGGUCAGAAUGGGAAGAGUUUUUAAAAAAUAAAAAGGGGAGCUAA